AACGUAGGAGACGAACGUUAUCCGGAGUUACUGGGCGUAAAGGGCGUGUAGGUGGUUUGUUAAGUCUGGCGUGAAAGCUCUCGGCUAAACCGGGAGAGGUCGUUGGAUACUGGCGAACUAGAGGAUGGUAGAGGCGUGUGGAAUUCCGGGUGUAGUGGUGAAAUGCGUAGAGAUCCGGAGGAACACCAGUGGCGAAGGCGACACGCUGGGUCAUACCUGACGCUAAAGCGCGACAGCAUGGGGAGCAAACGGG
rnacentral:rRNA from 1 species